AUGAAUUGGAGUCAUACGACUGGGUGUUUCCUUCCGAGUGGUUUUCAUCAGCAAUCCAUUAGGAAAUCAUGGAAACUUUUUUUUUCCUGGCUAAAAGGAUGAAAACUGAGUAAGUACAUAGAACUUUGAACUUGAGACGGAAUGAAACAAAUUCAAGCAAAAACCCUGACAGUAACCAUGUCCAUUCAAAUUGCGUAUGCCCUUUUUAUGUUAAAAGCCGUGAAUACUUACAGGACAGUGGGAAUUUAAAACUAAAUGAAGGGAAGCAUACAAAAGGCUGAAAGCAAGACUGCUUUAAAACCGGAGGAAAAUUGAGGAACUGCUAAGGCAACCUGGCCUGAGUUCAGCUGUGCAACAGGCACUUUGGGUUUUAAUCUUUUGCGUUCUUCAAUGCUGUUUUCAGACUCCAGAUAUACUUUGGUAUUGUUUUCUCUCUUCCUGCAAAGCUGAGGCAGAGUCGGACUCCUUUACUGUGAGUUGAAAGAUGUGAGAAUAAGGCAUUGCUGGAAGCAACAGUUUGGCAGCCUGGGGUACACUCAGGUUAUUCGUUACAACUAUUAUUAUUUGAUGUCUUUUUUUAAACUCAGGUCAUCCACUUUUGACUGUCAUCCAUGGAAGAGCUCUUAUUAAAAGCCUCAGACUUUCGGGACCUAUGAUUCUUUGGCACAACCUUUUGGAAAAUUCUUAAGCAGGGAUGAAGCAAACUUGAUUGGAGUUGGGGAAAAAGAAGACAGAUUAGUAUUUUUCAUGCUGACAAAAAAUAGCUGCUAUGACUUUUCCCGCAACGUGGACAGGGGCCAAGUGAAGCUGAACUGGUCAUGGUCUGUCGCCCAGUGUUCCCUUGUCGUCGGCGAUUUUGCCCCCGACCCUUCUUGGUGGGCUUAGUGGUGGCAAUCUGUCUCUUCUACCAGACUCUGACCCUCCGAGGGUCGAGGAAGCUCACAGCCGCUGCCCCUGGGGCUGUCCCACACACAUCCACUGAAACCCAGGCAAGCAGAUGCAAGAAAGGAUUCUCUCAGGACAAACAGUGCUUCCUUCUCUCUGGUAAUGCCCAGGAAACCAGAAAGGUCAAAGAAUCAAUGGAGACACACUUUGGCAGCCAUGGCCGAAGGGCCAUACUCUACAGGCCUCCUUUCUACAGCAAAACAGAGCUUCAGCUACACCAGCACAUUCUGACUCAACAUGGCUAUACGGUUGUCAUCGCUGAAGAAAGGCUCAAUGCUGGCCUAGGGCCGGGGCUACUAGAACAAGAGAGGGGAAUCUCACUAUGUUACCCAGACUGGUGUCGAACUACUGGGCUCAAGCAAUUGUCCCGCCUCAGCAUCUCAAAGUGCUGGGAUUACAGACGUGAACCAUCUCGCCUGGCUCUGUCAUUUCUUAAAGUUCAAAUGAAUGUAUG
rnacentral:lncRNA from 1 species